UAGCUAAGCUUCAAGUUCAUGAAAUUCAGGCAAUUAACUGCAUUCAACUAAUUUUUUAACUGAAACUAUAGGAGAACAGACAAAUUAUGGAACUGUCAGGAGAUAGUUAACGGUACAAAUUUUUAUUGAUAUAUGGCCAAAAUCAAAGAAGGGUGUUGGUAACCAACAAGUCAGAGGAGACCUCAAAACAGGAGCUGCUUAGGGUGGUGUGCACAACAUUUGGAGUGAAAGAAGAAGAUAUUUUUCCUGCAGACAUGGCAAGACAAAUUCUACGAUUUUGCAGACAUGGAAGAGGACGAACUUGUGACAGGGCCAUUGAGAGUAAAAAUUACAAACUACCUGUGGUCCUCGGUGCACAGCAACUGGUGAAUGGUGGAGAGCACAUAGAGUGGAUGAGCACUGAAAAAAAGGCAGCCAGACUUCAAGAGAGUUGAGUUCUGCAUGCAGAAGACACUGGCAGACAGAAGGGCAUGGAUCAUAAAUUCUGUCCCUCGGCCAAGGAUCACUGAUGACCGACUGAAGUAUCCUUGGCUCUUUGAUGAGGAUCAGGUAAUCUAUGCAGAGUUUUCUCACCAGAUUUUGAAAUAUACUGAAUAUCCCGAGAUUGAUUGAAUGCUGACGGACGUUGAUAGAGUUGCUUACUCAAUGUUUCCCUAUUACAGUGAUUUACAGAAUGUAUUGGAAACUUCUAACUCCACAUGGAUUAUCCAAACUUGCUCAUAAACUUAAUUUAUUCAAGACUGCGUAAGGUGUGAACUUCAUAUGUGGUCCUUGUAUGUAAAAUUCAGGUUAUUUUCUUGUCAAAGCAAUAUCACCUAAACAGCUUGAGGUAUGGAUGUAAAAACUUGGUGUUUAACAUGUACCAUCAUUAGGAAGACGAUUUGAAUGGAUUUUGGAAUAUGUAGGUCAAAGGUCAAUUUGUGAAAUUUAUUUGUUUAAACACAUGGGCCCGUAUUCUGAUAGCAGGUUUAAUUUAACCCUAGUCUAAAGUUAACCCUAGUUUAA